rnacentral:rRNA from 1 species
UGAGCAAUCUGCCCUUCUCUUCGGAAUAAGCGUGGGAAACCGCGUCUAAUGCCGAAUACGACCUCCUUUCGCAUGAUCGGAGGUGGAAAGCUCCGGCGGAGAAGGAUGAGCUCGCGGCCUAUCAGCUAGUUGGUGUGGGUAAUGGCCCACCAAGGCGACGACGGGUAGCAGGCCUGAGAGGGUGACCGGCCACACUGGGACUGAGACACGGCCCAGACUCCUACGGGAGCAG